CUUGAAUAACAGUGAUCUGGUCACAACUGAAGGAAUAAGGUGGGAAUUUGGAAGACAAGCAGACUUUUUUCUCCACAUUCCAUAAAAAUUCCUUUAGAAAGAGUGACGGUAGAUUGAAAACGUUGAAGAGUGGGAAGGAAUUGUCUUAAAGGAAGGACUGAAGCCUAUGUUACAAGAGACUCCACCUGCAUCAUUGUGUCCUGUGUCUUCUAGAGAGAAAUGGGAGAGUCUUCCCAGGCCUUGUAGCUGAAGAGAGCGCUGGUAGACUGAAAACAUUUAGGAUUGGGAAGGAAUUUUCUUAAAGGAAGGACCGAUAGCCAAACUACAAGCAAAAGAGAAGAACAUGAGAAGGGAUAAUCAGAG
rnacentral:lncRNA from 1 species